AUCAAAUAAGAGGACAUUGAUGUUUGUGUCCUGCCCUCUUUUCUGUCCAGUGGCUGUUGAGAUAAACCCAAAUGGAAGAGUGUCAACCCAGUGACGAAUGGCCAGCUAUGCAGCAAGAGCAAGCAGCAAAGUUUAGCAUCACAUGGUCUCAUGGCUUCCUGUUUCAGUUUGCUGUCUGGUGGUGGCUGCGGUUGACAUGUCUUGUCCCUGAUGGAUGAAGUAUUGUGAUAGCAGGACCUUUAAGGAAGUGAACUGAUUACAGCAGCUCAAACACAGAGCAGGAAUGGCGAUGGAUGAAGGUCUUUUCCGCAUGAUGCUACGUACACAGACACAAUUCAGCACAAGGGACAUUUGUCACAGCAUUGCUGUUCUUGAUCUCAAUAACCAAUAUCAAUGAUAAAGACAGAGGGAAUUUGUCCAUAAAUGGGGGUUUUCCUGCUGGGGAAGUGGCUUUUUGCUCAGAUAUUGUAGGUCCUGUUGUUGUGGAAAGUGUG